AACAUGAUUGAAUAAGAAAUCAAUGAAUAAAACAAGAGGAGAAUAAGGUUUAGAAGGAUCUUCUCUACAGGGAGUCUCCAUAGGGUUUUGCUCCCAAAGUACAGAAUUGAAAAAGGGAAUAGCCUCCCAAAGCUUAGGGUCUAAACAUUAACCUCAAAGCUAUAUAAAUAUGUCUUAAGAACGUGUUGGGCCUUCAUUAAACAUAGGAGAAAGUUUUGGGCCGAAUUCAAAAAAUCUUCAAAACAACAAUAAGUUGCGUCUUUCAAUUGCCGUCAGGUAUUGGUGUCGCACGACACCAGGGGUGGUGUCGUUCGACACCUACGUGCAUUUUCGUCUCUGGAUUGCUUCUUCAGCUUAAAUUGUAUGUUUUACUCCAGAAUGCUCCAUAAUCUUCAAAUGCAUCUAAAACAUGUAAAGACCUGAAAAAGACUAGAAAAAACUGUAUAAAUAACAAUUAGACUCUAAAGCCUAUACCUAAAACAUACUUAAAAACGGUAAAAAUAGGGAUAUAUCAAUGAAUCCUAACGAUUAAGAAAAAUAAUUCAUUCAGCACCAACCGAGGUAUAUACUAUUUUACGAUCAUGCCGUGUGAACUAAACAUGUAGGUGUGACAUACCAACGAUAAUCAUCUUGAAAAACGGUGGAGGUCUAUAUAGAUGACAUGCUCGUGAAAUCGUCAAAAGAGAGCGGUCACAUUUAAGACUUGGGAGAAUGCUUUAAUAUCUUGAACAAGCUUC
rnacentral:sRNA from 1 species